UUUACUGUUACGACUAGCUCGCCGGAGAAGAACGAAGGAGGAGAAGAAAGACGACGGAGUAAUGGCAGAGGAGGAGCCUUGCAUGUUCUGGAUUUGGGCUAUGGCUUCUACGAUUUUCCGAUUAUUCUUGAUCUUUUUUUUCCCGGAAAAUAUCAACGCAUCUUCCCGUCCGGAGCUCUCCACCCCUCUCACCAGCCUUCGCCGCCUUGCUGAAGGUUACUGGUUGAAGCAGUCAUCACUGUCGCCAUACGCAGGGUCAAUGUAUCAUGGCUCUCCAUUGCUACUCUCCAUUCUCGGUCCUCUCACAAUUCAGAGGAUUGAAGGGAAAUCGAGUCAUCAUUUGUGCAGCUUGGUUUUUGUUAUUGCAGAUAUACUUAGUGCGUUGCUUCUUCGAGCUACUGGUCAGAAGCUCCAAAAGGCUUACAGAUUGAAUUUGAGGCGACUUGGCCUUCUUACGUCAUUACAGGAUAGAGGUAUCCUCCCUUGUGGAGAUAUUGCUGCUCUUGUGCACCUGUGGAAUCCUUUCACAAUACUUUCUUGUGUUGGCUUAUCAACUUCUCCGAUAGAAAAUUUGGCUGUCAUUGUGUCUCUUUCUGGAGCAUUACUCGUAAGCAAUUGUUGGAAAAAGUGUUCUUAUCUAUAUUGGAUGAAAACCCUGCUUUCGGUUUGUAUUACGCUCAUCUCUGUUGUUCUUCUUCUCAACACUGUCUUCUACCUUUGCAGGACGAGUUCCUCUGGCUGCAUUUGGGUUAGUCAUGGCCACACACUUGUCUCUUUAUUCAGCAACUUUAGCGAUUCCAGUACGCAUAAUCUCAUUUACAUUGUCGUUUUGUUUCAUGUAUCUCAAUCUCAAGUUUAUCAGGGGAAUCGUUCUAAUUGCUCUUGUGUUUCCCUCAGUUGAUCUUUCUGUUGGGAUAUGGUUUAGAUGCCCCUCCUGUAAAAAAAUUCCUUCAGACAAGACAUGUAGGAGUUGAGACGACAGGAUCAACCUCUGAUGUUUCGAAACAAGACAAGUUGACUCAGACUACACAACUUUUCUUAUGGAGAACAGUCUUGUAUUUCGUAUUUUGGGUAUUGGUGUGGUCGAGCUAUGUGUUGGUUCUGUGCAGCUUAUCAUUGAAACAAUAUGGUGGACUUGAAGAGAUGUUCAAAAGGACAUAUGGUUUCAUUCUCAGAAUCGAAGAUCUGUCCCCAAACAUUGGUGUCUUUUGGUACUUCUUCGCAGAAGUCUUUGAUUUUUCCAGAAAUUAUCUCCUGAUAGUUUUUAACUUAUAUAUUCUGCUUACGGGGAUACCACCGUUAGCCUUCCGGUUAAAACAUCGGCCCUGCUUCCUUGCUUUCGCUUAUUUAGCCUUCUCCUCGAUUCUAAAAUCUUAUCCUUCAGUAAGUAUUUUAACUUCACUAUGAAACAAUAUUUGUAUCUUUCUUGAAAAAGCUUUCUGUUCAUAUAAUCUUAAAUCUUGAAUCUAUUCCUUAAUCUCAUCACUAGGUUGGAGAUGCAGCUUUAUAUUUGAGUUUAUGGGCAUUGUUUGUCAAUGAAUUAACAGACAUGGAGCACUCGUUCUUUAUCUUCUGUGGAUAUAUUGGAUUUUCGCUACUCAGCCCUGUGAUGCACAAUAUCUGGAUAUGGAGGGGAACUGGAAAUGCAAACUUUUACUUCGGAAAUGCUAUGGGCUACGCGUGCUUUCAGUAUAUGUUUGUGGAGAAAAGUGUAAACGCAAUGCUCAACCAUGACCAGGCGCUGAAGAAAGCUACUUCAGAAAUGACAAAGAACUGAGCCAUUAUAGCCAUUUUUUAAUGUUCGGUUAUAAGAGUCUCUAACCAUAAACUAGUGGCAAAACUAGUGGUCUUCUUUGGCCAAACGCAGAAGCCAAAAAACGUCGAACAACAUGUAUUAGGGAGUAGACUGGUUUAGUCGUAAAGUGUCACAUUUACUAGUGAUUGUAGUUGCACAGUUUUAACAAGGCUUCAAACUCGGAGAUCCAAACCAAAUGAGACGACACAUAUUUUACGUCGAUGACCACUCAGCUCCGAUUCCUUGGUUAAGUAGAUUGUUGUGUUAAAUGUUUUUCAUAAUGUUCAUAGCUUUUUGCAGUGAAGUUAGUUUUAUCCU